GCUUCCUUUUUGCUGCUCUGCAAUAAUAACCAAGUGUGUGGAGAUACCUGACGGCCGUUCUGGGACUGAUACCAACUUGUUCUACUAUGUCAGAAGCCUUGCAAUGAGGAUUAUCCUCCACACUUCUUUUAACAAAGAGAAGGGUCCUGUCACAGAGCUCUGGCCAACCUGGGUGAGGUGAUGUGCACUCCUUCCCAUCUCUGGUGAAUUGCCCAAUUACUCUAUAAAUUGUAGAAAGCAGGAUUCCAAGGUUUUCUGCAAUUUUAUGCUAUGUCCACCUUUAGAUUGACCCACAAUAUGGCCUCUUUGAAAUUCAGACAGUUCCAAGGCUUCCUUUGUAUAUGGCAUGAUUAAAUAGUCAUAUAGAGAACCUGAAACAUAAAAAUGUCAAGGAAUAAAAGAUAUAGACCAUU